AACGAACGCUGGCGGCAUGCCUAACACAUGCAAGUCGAACGAGACCUUCGGGUCUAGUGGCGCACGGGUGCGUAACGCGUGGGACCCGCCCUUUAGGUUGGGAAAACCUCCCCGAAGGGGUUGCUAUUACCGGUAAAGUUCUUCGAACCAAAGAUUUAUCGCCUUUGGAUGGGCCCGCGUUGGAUUAGCUAGUUGGUAGGGUAAAAGCCUACCAAGGCGACGAUCCAUAGCUGGUCUGAGAGGAUGAUCAGCCACACUGGGACUGAGACACGGCCCAGACUCCUACGGGAGGCAGCAGUGGGGAAUAUUGGACAAUGGGCGAAAGCCUGAUCCAGCAAUGCCGCGUGAGUGAUGAAGGCCUUAGGGUUGUAAAGCUCUUUUACCCGGGAUGAUAAUGACAGUACCGGGAGAAUAAGCUCCGGCUAACUCCGUG
rnacentral:rRNA from 1 species